rnacentral:tRNA from 1 species
UGGAACGUAGCUCAAUCGGUAGAGCAACUGAUUGGUAAUCAGUGGGUAGCGGGUUCGAAUCCCGUCGAUCCGA